GAACUCAACGUCACAAAAUGCCGAAACUACCCUUUUUAUUUGCCACAAUUCCAUUUCCAGGCCAUCUUCCUCCCUCCUCACAGAGAAGCCGGUAACGAACUCAACGUCACAAAAUGCUGAAACUACCCUUAUUAUUUGCCACAACUCCAUUCCCCACCCUGUUCUUCCUCCUCGUCCUCUCCAUAUUUCAGGUAAUUUCCCAAAAUUUGGACGAUGAACGAUCAAUCCUACUAGACGUUAAACAACAACUGGGCAAUCCACCGUCACUCCAAUCGUGGAAUUCCUCAUCCUCGCCCUGUGAUUGGCGGGAAAUUACAUGCACCGACAAUACCGUCACUGCAAUUUCACUCCACAAUAAGACCAUCAGAGAGAAAAUUCCAGCCACAAUUUGUGACCUCAAGAACCUCAUCGUACUUGACCUUUCCAACAAUUACAUUCCCGGCGAGUUCUCGGAUAUUCUCAAUUGUUCCAAGCUUGAGUAUCUGCUCUUGUUGCAAAACUCCUUCGUGGGUCCAAUUCCAGCUGAUAUUGAUCGACUUUCACGUCUCCGGUACCUAGACCUCACAACAAACAACUUCUCUGGAGAUAUUCCCGCAGCAAUUGGGAGGCUACGGGAGCUGUUCUACUUGCUUCUGGUUCAAAAUGAGUUCAACGGCACCUGGCCAACGGAGAUUGGUAAUUUGGCGAAUCUUGAACAAUUGGCCAUGGCCUAUAAUGACAAAUUCCGGCCUUCAGCCCUUCCAAAAGAGUUUGGCGCAUUGAAGAAGUUGAAAUAUCUGUGGAUGACGCAGGCGAAUUUGAUUGGCGAAAUACCGGAGAGCUUCAACCAUCUGUCGAGUCUGGAACACUUGGAUCUCUCACUCAACAAAUUAGAAGGUACGAUCCCUGGAGUCAUGCUUACGUUGAAGAAUUUGACCAAUUUGUAUUUAUUCAAUAAUAGAUUGUCCGGCCGCAUUCCUUCAUCCAUAGAAGCUCUCAACUUGAAAGAAAUUGAUCUUUCCAAGAACCAUUUGACGGGGUCGAUACCAGCGGGUUUCGGGAAGCUACAAAAUUUGACCGGUCUGAAUCUUUUCUAGAAUCAGUUGUCAGGAGAGAUACCAGUAAAUAUAAGCCUCAUUCCUACACUGGAAACUUUCAAAGUUUUUAGCAAUCAAUUGAGUGGAGUUUUGCCUCCAGCAUUUGGCCUUCAUUCGGAGCUCAAACGCUUUGAGGUUUCCAAGAAUAAACUAAGCGGGGAAUUACCUCAACAUUUAUGCGCUAGGGGGGCUUUGCUUGGAGUGGUUGCUUCCAACAACAAUCUCAGCGGGGAAGUGCCCAAGUCCCUCGGGAAUUGCACAAGUUUGCUCACCAUUCAGCUUUCCAACAAUCGCUUUUCAGGUGAGAUUCCUUCCGACAUCUGGACAUCCCCGGACAUGAUAUGGGUGAUGUUAGCUGGAAAUUCAUUCUCGGGGACACUUCCAAGUAAAUUGGCAAGGAAUUUGUCCAGAGUGGAGAUCAGUAACAACAAGUUUUCUGGUCCAAUUCCUGCUGAAAUCUCUUCUUGGAUGAACAUAGCUGUGCUCAAUGCCCGCAACAAUAUGUUGUCAGGAAAAAUUCCAGUGGAAUUGACCAGUCUUCGGAACAUCUCUGUUAUGUUGCUUGAUGGGAAUCAAUUCUCGGGUGAGCUUCCAUCCGAGAUCAUCUCAUGGAAGUCGCUCAAUAAUUUGAAUCUCUCAAGAAACAAACUUUCUGGCCCAAUUCCCAAGGCAUUAGGUUCUUUACCUAACCUUAAUUACCUUGACCUGUCAGAAAACCAGUUCUCAGGUCAAAUUCCUCCUGAACUUGGUCAUUUGACGCUUAAUAUCCUCGAUCUAUCGUUCAACCAACUCUCUGGGAUGGUCCCCAUUGAGUUUCAAUAUGGAGGAUAUGAACACAGUUUCUUGAACGAUCCCAAGCUGUGUGUCAAUGUUGGCACUCUGAAACUCCCUAGAUGUGAUGCCAAAGUCGUUGACUCCGACAAAUUGUCAACCAAAUAUCUCAUUAUGAUCCUAAUUUUUGUUGUAUCUGGUUUCCUAGCUGUUGUUUUGUUCACCCUGCUCAUGGUUCAAGAUGAUAAUAGGAAGAAUCACAGUCGAGACCAUACACCUUGGAAGGUUACCCAAUUCCAAACACUAUAUUUCAAUGAACAGUACAUAUUGACCAGUUUGACAGAAAAUAAUUUGAUCGGACGCAGUGGUCAGGGGAAAUAUACCGAAUUGCUAAUAACUGUUCUGGUGAACUCCUAGCGGUUAAAAAGAUUUGUAAUAACAGGAGAUUGGAUCACAAGCUUCAGAAACAAUUCAUAGCAGAAGUCGAGAUAUUGGGCACCAUACGCCAUUCCAAUAUAGUGAAGUUGUUGUGCUGCAUAUCGAAUGAAAGCUCAAGCCUUCUUGUUUAUGAGUACAUGGAGAAGCAGAGUUUGGAUAGAUGGCUUCAUGGGAAGAAGCAGAGAACAACGUCCAUGACAAGUUCAGUCCAUAACUUUGUCUUGGAUUGGCCAACAAGGUUGCAGAUUGCUAUCGGAGCUGCAAAAGGCCUAUGCCACAUGCAUGAAAACUGCUCUGCCCCGAUCAUACAUCGAGAUGUGAAGUCCAGCAACAUCUUGCUAGAUGCCGAGUUCAAAGCAAAAAUUGCGGAUUUUGGAUUGGCCAAGAUGUUGGUCAAGCAAGGAGAGCCCGACACCAUGUCAGGAAUUGCAGGCUCUUACGGAUAUAUUGCCCCUGGUAAGACCAUCAAGGCCCUCCUUUCCACAUGUUUUCAUUUCCAUAAUUUAUCAAUAAUUUUUAUCAUACAAUUCUUGUAUACUUGGAUGAUAGAGUAUGCUUAUACAACAAAGGUGAACGAAAAGAUCGAUGUAUAUAGCUUUGGAGUAGUCCUGCUUGAGCUAGUGACGGGGAGAGAACCCAACAACGGGGACGAGCUCAUGUGCCUUGUAGAAUGGGCAUGGGAUCAGUUCAGAGAAGGGAAAACCAUUGAGGAAGUGAUGGAUGAGGAUAUCAAGGAACAAUGUGAAAGAGCACAAGUGACCACUCUCUUCAGUCUAGGCCUCAUGUGCACCACCAGAUCACCAGCCACUAGGCCCACAAUGAAGGAAGUUUUGGAAAUUCUUCGACAAUGCAGUCCUCAGGAGGGCCAUGGAAGAAAGAAAAAGGACCAUGAAGUUGCACCCUUACUUCAAAAUGGCACUUGCCCCGCUACUUACAAGCAUAACGAGAAGGGAUCAGACAAUGAGGAUGACGAUAAAUUAGUUUGAAAUUUACAGCUUGUAAAUAAGUGUAAGAAAGCUUGUAAAUUAAAGGUGGUAGUGAUCUUAGGAAGUGUGUUUAGCCUUUUUAUAAUACUUGAAAAAUAAAAAUUUGCAAGUGUUAAAAGGUUAAAAACACUGUUGGAGGUACCUAACAUCUGCAUAUCUUUAAUACACCACCUCCCAAAUGAGGUAAUUGGAAACGCACAAAAUCACCUCAUCCCAAAACUAGGACCAUAAAAGAAGACGACCUCUCGGUCCUGCGGGAUGACCUGACUAAUUGACCUAUGCCUAGAAAAACGAAUCCAACUACCCGUCUCCUCAUGUGCCCAAAAGUCAACCAUGCCUCUGAUAUGCUGCAAAAAACCAAUACUUCAUGAUCCUUCACAAGGAAAAGUGGCUAUAAAAGGGGAGCCUUUUCCUCCUCUAAUGACUCUCUCUCUCAGCCUCUAAAAGAAAGCUGUAGAAAAUGUAGAAAAUGCAUUUCUAUACCCGGAAAAUAGUGGAAUGAAAUCUCCAAUAUUUUCCUUGAAGAAUUUUGGAUUCUUCAUUGGCAUAAUGGAGGACCGAGAGUGAAGUUUAAUCAGUCCAAAGGGAUUUGGAUGUCAAUUCUAUCUUUGUUCAACAUCCAAUAUCUUCCACUAUAAGCAAAAACAACAGCAAAAACAUCAACAACAAAAUUUUCUAGGGGAGUUUUCCUUUAGUUUUUUCUUCUCCUUUUAUAAAUCUUCCUUUAAUCACUUUUGUUUUGCGUAAUAUUCAAGAAAAUGUCAACUUUGUAGCUUUAGGAAAAUGAGCAACUAACCUCUCGAUUAUCUCUUUGUUUUGGGUUUUUCUAGUACCACUUGUGAUUGGUUGUUCCUUAGAAUUGAAAACAAGAAAAUAUGGAUCGAAAUAGCAGCUCACAAGCCUUUGUUUCAUGCUAAGCAAUUCUUGAAUAUUAUGGAGUUCUAGGGAAACAUGUCCACUUGCAAUCUGCAGCUUCAGGUUUUAUGAUUUAGGCCUCAAGCACCAUGGUUUAGCCAUCUCAAUCAGUUGUUGAAGGGGACAAUGUCUAACCAAUUUCAAAGGGUACAACCUCACAAAUCCUCGAUCUCAAUAUCGCCUCAGGUAAAUAGAUAAACCUAGAAACCUAACCUAACAAAGGUACCUAUUCUUUAACCAAAUAGUUGAUCAAAAGCUACAAAUCUUUGAAGAAUGCAAUAUCCAAAAGCUAAAAAACUUUGCAGAAGUGUUUGUACUAUAUAAUCUCCACCUUGACUAUCCAGACAAUCUCCACCUCGACUAUCCAGGUGAUCUCCACCUUGAUUAUCCAGACAAUUUUCAUCUCGGGCAGUCGGAGGUACCUCAUUCUCAAAUACCAACAAAGUAACCCAAUUUGUACUUGUCAACCAAUACACAUAUCCUCACAAUUGAUUGUUUAACCCUUAUCAAAUCAACCACCCAAGAUAUGUUGGGCCUUGUUCAACUGGCUCAAGAGUUUGCCCAACCUCCCACCUGCUCAGCAUGCAUAUGUUAGAAAUGUCUAACUCCUUCUUUCAGAUAAAAUUGGUUGACAGUUUUAUGCUUGGUUGAAGCCACUCAUAUAGAAUUUGGGAGCCAUAACAAUUACCAACAAUGUAUGAAGGAGGCAAACUUUGAGGCACCUCAAAUAUUCAAGAGUUAGAUACAACUUAAGAGGUUAUUUAUCUUACCUAACCUCAACAGGAAGUCAUCAAAAAGCACAAGUACAAUCUUGAUGUCAACUCACAUACAUAUCAGCCAAAUGGAAGAAAGUCUUGUCACCUAAGCAAGCGAUCAACUAAAGUUCAGAUAAGUCUUCUCUAACAUAUUUAUCUUAUAAUCUUUGGUUAAUUUCAUUUGUUUCAUUUUACAAGGACUAAUUGUGAAAAACAAACACCUUUCAAGUUAGGAAAACCUUCCAACUAAAAAUCUAAGGUUGAAUUAGUCUCAAAACAAAAACUCUUAUUAAUAGUCUAGCUAAAAACAAACGGUCAAGGUGAGUGACCAAACAAAAAACCUCGACCUAAAACCCACUUCUGGCAUUAGUCCUCUCAAUUCUAGAUGUACUUUGUUGAACCAUCCCUGUGGUCAUACAUGGAAAUUACCUUGAUGCAAAACUGACCUCUCACUCUUCUAGAGAUGGAUCACCUGUGUGCUUUGUGGACCUUCAAGUAAAGGUCGCACUUGUACACAAGCUCUAUCUCUAGGUAUGAGUUAACUUUAUGCCAAACCAACCUCCCUCUAUGAGCAUGUGUUAUCCUUGUGCCAAAACCUAAGUGGUCAAUUCCAACAAUUCCAGUGUAUAAAAGAACUUAACCUGAAUAUUUUUCUACUAUCCACUCUAAAAGCAUUACAUGCAAACUAAAUGAUUGAACUUGCCUAUUGACUUGUGGCAUAAGAAUUAUUUCAGGGCAAAACAAGUUACGAAAUAAGUCCACCUCAUGAUUAGAUCACUUAAACAACAGAUCGAGAAACUCAAGCUAGCAAAUAAUGAUAACCUCUUAAUCAAGAGUAACAAGUUGGGGAACCUAGCUAGAAAGGUUGGCCCUAGCAGAAAGGCAUCCAAGACCCUUACCUCACAUAAGGGGAAGUGGGUGGGAAGAAAAAAACUAGGUCUCGAAUAAUGAAGUAUGACAUCAGAAUUUACAACAAACAACUUGGGAUUUGUGUGUUAUCUAUCUAUGUUACUUCCAAUUUGUGAUUGGAUACAAUAUGAAGGAAUCUCGAAAAAUAGCAUCACAAGACACAACCUUAUUAUUAGUUGGCCCCAAACUGAAAAUCAUUCAAAUGUGAAAGCUUUGAGUUGAACAAUGUUGGGACGUAAAUGCAAAAAAUUAUCUACGGAGGUUCAUUAGUUAAAAUUGCAAGUCAACUCAGCCUAAGAGGCAUCAAAGCAGUAGAACUGAGAAUGUGCAUCACCUACAACUUCCUAUUUAUUUCAAAAAAAACUACAUAUCCGUUAUGUGGCCUUAAAGUUCAACCUGCAUAAGAAACCCAAUCGAGCAUCUUUACCAUUGUUAGCAACUCAUGAUACUAGCUAACAAUUGUGAAUGACUACUCUUCUGAGUUUUCCCUAUUAACUUACAACGACCUACUAUCAUAUGGUUCUACUAAUUGUCUGGAUAGUCAAUACAUAGCUCCGCUAACUCUAUGAACUAUUCCUAAAAUAUUACAGCAACAACCCCCAACCAAGGAAAAAUGCAAACUACCUCGUUAAUGUAAGGUAAACACCUAAGGAAUCCUUGAUAAAAUUUGUUUAGUUAUUCAUAUCAGAAAUAGUGCAAGUAGAAAGCAAUGAUCAAAGAACUAUGACAAAGGCCUUUAGAAAAGCCUUGUCUACAAGAAGUCCACUACUUGGGUCAUUAGUAAGGGAUAACCUUCCCCACAUACCAGAUCAAGCUAGAUGAACAACUUGAAUUAAACCUUACAGAAAAAGCUACGAUAUCACAAUUCGCACAAUCAACACCUACCUACUUGACAAGGCUGAGGGAAAAAAUCAAGUGGCAAUCAAAUCAAUGUUAGUCACAACACAACUAGAAGAAAAGUUGGUUUGAUAUAGGAAGUUCAACCAAUAUAUUCUUUGACAACUUCUUUCAGCAAAUGAAUAAGUCAUGACUUUGACUCGAAUUGUAAGCUCUUAUGGAAAAUCUUCCAAUGCCUAGAUUAACUUGACCUUGGAGCAAAAGUAGAACUAAAGUCUCUUUCCUGAUGAAAAAGUCUCAGUCUCCUUACAACAUCAUUCUCAAGCAACAUUUUGUGGAUGCAGUAUCUCCAUCUUACAAUAAGAUGCUUGAGUUGGGAAAGAGAUCUAACAAUGAUAUUAUGCUUAAAUUCCAAAUCCAUCUCAACCUGAGAUAGCUCCGCAAAAAGGUUAACCAAACAGGAUGACAUACUCAUCCCCUAAUCUGGUUCAAAUGAGAAGAGUGCAUCAAAAACAACAAAGUAUCACCAAAAAAAUAACACAAAAUGAGGAACGAGUGGUAACUACAUUGACCUUAAUAAAGUUUGUCCUAAAAUUAGUUCUCCCCCGCCAAAGAUGGGCCAACUUUUGGACUCAAUAUCAUAACAUGAGGAAAAAAAGGUUCAAGAACCCUCAACCAUCUUGUGAGCUUACUCAACUAAAAGCAAAGGAGCAUUAAUCGUAAUGUUGAUCCAUCAAGAAUGAUAAACAAAAACUACAACCAAAAGGUAGAGACUCUUACAGGUGCUAAAACAGGUAUUCAAAAUAACCUCAUAAAAGGUGUGUUUGUGACCCCAACUUGAUGGUAGCAAAGUGCCCAAACCAUGAAACCAAGCACACCUAAAAAGGUACUAUGUCUAAACUAUAUAGCUAGUUUUAACAAUUUUGGAAUGUUUUAAUUACCUCAAUAAACUUCGCACCUUAUCUCGAUCCUCACGUAUGUGCUUGCUAAAGUGAAAUUUGCAAGAUUGAGAAAGACUGGGCAAUAAUCCUCUAGGAAGAGUUGUUCAUACAACUGAGAUCUAAGCCCUAUUACCAAAAGACAACCAAAGCCAAGCAAUUGGUUGAACCUCAUCUGGUCUAUAUUAAUUAGAAUUAUGAUCAAUUUUGUUAGCCAAGAACUAAAACAAUUAUCAUUUGGGACCAUUCACCUCUCUAAGAAGUCAAGGUCAUAAUUUGUCACUUCCUCUGGCCAAAUAAGUGGGUCUAUAAGCCUGCAACACUACACAUAUUUCCCCAAUCUUCCCUACCAUGUAUCAAACUAAAUUUCACUAAGCAACAAUUAGUACACAUUUUUUAUCACACAAAACCCACACAACAACAAAAAGUUGAAUAAGCCCAAUAAUUGGCACAACGCACAUAAAGUGUGGUCAUCAACACCCCACAAACAACAGAAAGAAAGAGAAAAAAAACUAACAUUGACACAAUUCAUCAAAGUUGCAAUCAUCAAAAUUAGCAAAACAAUGUAGCAAAAGAAAAAAACCCCACAUAAGCACCAUUCAUCAAAGUAUUCUCCUAAUGAAGUGUAAAAAAAUGGUCAUCCUCAUCAUAAUGGUCUAAAGUAUGGAAAAUACCGCCAUCAUCAAGGAGACUUUAGCAAAUGAGUUAUAACAAGUACAAGAGGGUCAUACUCUUUGCUCUUACUAGCAAGCCUAGUCUUGUUUAUAUUAAAGCUCUUGAUGCAAAGGCAUAUCAACCCCACACCUAUAAAUGAGGUAGAAAGAUUUGUAUCACCAUUUGAUUGUUCGCCUUGACCUGAUCAUCCAAUAUGCAUGGAAGCUGAUCAUUGGGAUCCUCAACACUUGUGAAUAAAACAAAAAUGAGUAAGACGUGUCAACCUCAUCAACAAACAUCAUAUCCUUGGCAAAAGUGGGAAUCAAACACAAAGAUUUUUUCUUUCUCGCCAUUCCUAGGGAAGAUCAAGACCUAAACCCACUCAUAGACACUCUUAUAUCAAAUACUAAGAGGAAUCAUGUGAUCCUUCGAAGACCCAACCUCAUCACAUGCAGAAUUGGGUCAUCACCAACUAAGCCCUGAUCAAUGCUUAACACUUAAGUGAAACAAAAGACAACUAAAUACAAACGAAAAGAAAGCUAGCGACAAGCAAAGAAACCACUUAAAAUGUCAAAACUAGACAAGCCAACGUCCUCAACUUGAGCUACAUCUAGUUGGAACUAUUUGAUUGAACUUAUGGCAUGACUUGAACUCAAAGCAAAGGUUUCCACACGAACAUUCGAUUGAGCUACUUACUCCAAUAUGACACCUCAAACAAGACUUUGUAAUACAAAACCAUAUCUCACAAUUGCAACACCAGCUAAAACAACAACAAAAUAAGCAUCAACAACAAAUGGAAAAUAUCCCGGCACGCCAAAAUGACCUCAUAGAUCAACUACAAAACAGCCUAGCCAAUUCACGGCCACUAGGCUAACCAAAUUGACGUUGGGAGGAAAGUGCAACGAGUUGCAUGCAUGAAGCCCCAUCAACCUGGGUUAAACCAAAAAAAACUAGCCAUCAUUAGCACACUAUCCGAGAUCGUUACAAAGUCCUACCCUCUUCUAGUCAUAGAAGAUGUCAGGACUUGGGAGGGACUAGAGGUACCAAAAAUUAACAUAUCUUUAAUACACCACCUCCCAAACAAGGUACAUGAAAAGACACAAAAUCAUCUCAUCCUAAAACCAAGACCAUAAAAGAAGAUGACCUCUCAGACUUGUAGGAUGACAUGACUACAAUCUUGAAGUUGUACUUCUAUAGUUGGGCCCUAAAAGAGAACCCGGUAGGGAGGAAGGGCAGCAUAUAAACCUUGUCCAAUGGGCAUGGUAGCACCUUUGAGGAAGAAAGUCGUUUGUGAAAGCAUUGGAUGAGAAGAUCAUGGCACAAUGCUACUUCAAAAAAAUGAGCACUAUAUUCCUAAUAAUCAAACUUAAUCAUGAAAACUUUGAAAAUAGUGAGAAUUCUCUUACCUACAAGUAUAAAGACAAAUAGACGGAAGGUAAAUAAAUCAUUAAUAGAACUUAAAAUAAUAAAUUGAGCAAAUAAACAUAUGGUAAAAUUGGAACUCAUGAUCCUCCUACUAAAUAAUACCAUAUUGGAUAACUAAAUUUUUUAAGAACUUAAACAUAAGAUUUGGAUCUUUAUGAUCGUGUAUCAUGCUUUCUAAUAAUAUAUUAAAUACUUUUCUAGAUUUUGUGUUGACUUGUGAUUACUUCUCUAAAUCAAUUUUUCAGCAUCCUAUAUAUAUGUAUUUGUUAGGAUGGAUCAAUUUUUCAGAAUCAAUUAUCAAAGAAUGCAAAAAUAUAACUCCUCAUAGAGUCUCUUGUUUUUCCUCUACGACUUAAAAGAAGUCCUUAGUGCUUUCACAAGGAAAUAGGAUAAUUUUUUUUAUCUUCAAACCUGCACAAAGAUAUGGAAACCAUAUCAUUGAAAUAAUUAAAACGGAAAACAACUGGAAUCAAAGUGCUAUUGCCUUAUUUUUUUUAAAAAAAAAAAUCUUGGGCUUUAUGCAAAACUAAACAUUAGUUGCCUAAAUCUCCUUAAUUGGAAUACUAGAUGGGUGUAUCAAUUCAACUUGACACCUUCUUCCAUAAAUACCAAAAAUGAUAUUUGUUUUGGGAACAAGACUAGAGUUUUGAGCAGAUAUAAUACAUUUAUGAAAAAAAGAUAAUAAAAUGGAUUUUCAACUAAAAUAAUUCCCAAGCUAGUACAUUUCAACUAUGUGCGUAUCCGUAUGGCGUGAGAAUGUUUUUUUUUUUUAUAUGUUCUUUUAUAUCACAACUAUAAUUAGUAACUAGGAUUUUGAUUUUUUUAACAUAAAAUCAUAGAUAGAUAUUAUAAUUUUAAAUUUAUUUUUAAAAUCACAGUCAUCAACUAUAGUUUUAAGUUUAAAUUUAAAAUCAUAGUUAGUAACUAUUAUUUUAACCAUUUUCCAAAAAAAAUCAAAAUUAUAAUUAAUAACUACGAUUUUAUGAUAUGAAACACUCCAAUUUGAAAAUUAUUUUGAGAGGGGAUCUACUUUGUAGAUUUUUAUUUUAAAAAAAAUAAAUUAUUUUUCCUCAAACCUCAAAAAACAAACUUGUUUAGAACUAAAUUCAAUUAUACACUUCUCUAAUUUUUCUUUACCCUAAUAGAAGAUCAAUUCCAUUUUAUCACUUUUCCACCAGAAUCCUCAUGACUACUUGUAGAAUUCUUGAGAUGAAAUGAAAGAGUGGUAUGAGAUGCUUGUUUAAACUUUAGUUUCAAUCUCGAUCAAUGUUGUCCAUUCCCUUAGCUGUGCAUUAUUCCAAUGCCAGUUUUCCUCCAUAAACUCCAGGUACAAGAUUAGAUUCCGUGUGGAAUGGAUCCUGUUGUGAGACUUGACCAUCAAUAUCCUUCUCUCCAUUUGUGGGGUACUGCCCACUUGAUCACUGCUGUGGAAAUCUGACUAACACACCCAAAUUCUCAACAACCCAAAACCACAGAUUCCUGCAUCCUUCCAUCCAUCUUUCUUUAAGUAAGAUAGACAUCCAUUUGGUCUUUGUUUUUCAUUUAUUUCACUUUCUCCCAAGAAUACUAAUCUUGUCUUUAUUGACUGAUUAGUUUCAUUAGAGAUCAUCCAAGCAAAAGAAUAUCACAUUUUAUAUUAAAAAAAAAAAAAGUAUUGAAUAUAUUAGAAAGAUAUCAUCCUCGAAAAGUUGGAAAUGUAAUCUUGUGCAAGGAAAGGAAACAAGGGAGAGUCUUAAAUAAAUUGUUUCCAAAAGAGACCUAAUGACCAAUGUCUUUAGGGGUGUAUCCUUCAUGUAUAUAAAUAAGAAUUGAAAGCGAGGGAAUAUGGAAGUUUAGGGACAAGAUUUUGUUUUCUAUGAAUAAAUUAAAUGUGGCUUCAUGACUUCCAACCCUUACUUCGUCUUUCUCCACAUUAAAUAGCCCUUUUGAAAGUAUCAGUGGAGAUUGGCCCGAUUCCAAUGGAAUCGAUCACCUUUUCCAUAAUGCAUAGUUUGAUUAUGUUAGGAUGAUUAGGUCACCAACCAUUUGCUAAGCGUCAUAUCUUUUUUCUACACCAACUCAAAAACCCCACUUGGCCAAUAUGUUUUUAUUUUUUAAAACCAAUAUAAAUAAGGCAUUAACACAUCCAUUCUCAUGUUCCUCUACCUAACGUUAACCAUUUUCAUAUCUCUAGCAUAUCUCCACCCAUAAUAUCUAAAUUUUGAAGUGAUUCUAGUAAAAAUACUUUUUAAAAAAAUACUUUAAUCAAAAACACAUCAAACAAAAAUACUAUCAAACGCACUUUUAAUUUAUAUUAUUUUUUAUCAGUAACACUUUUAUUAUAAAAAAAAAAAUACUUUUAGUGGUAAUCAUUUAAUAUUUGAAUAUACAAAUAAAAAAACCUUUUUUAUAAUAUAUUAGAAAAAAAAUGGUUUUUAAAAGAAACAUCCAUCAAUAUAUUAUAUCACAAAUUAUUGUCUUUAAAACCUAAUUUUUAUUAUUAAAAAAAUGCCAAAAUUACUACCAAAUCAAUUCUAAGAAUAGUUUGAAAAUGGGUUGAACUUUUAUAUUUAUCAAGAAAAAAUUGUAGAAGUAACCACUAUCUUUGAAAAUUAUAUGUCAAAAAUAUUUUUAUUAAAGAGAAAGAUAAUUAUAAUAAAGCUAGUUGUCAUUACUUUUCAAUAACACAAAGAAAUCAUAUGGAGCUUAUAAUCAAAAGUUCUUUUCAAAUGACUAACAAAGGUUUUUAUUCCUUGAGUUGUUUUUACUACUAUUUUUAUCAUUUACCUAUGUUAUUAAUGGUGAUUAAAUGAUAAAAAAAAUAUUUAAUGCAUAUUAAUUUCUUUUCACAUCCAAUUUUCAAGUGGAUGUGCUAUAAAAAUGUUGUAAAAUAAUUUUUUUUAAAUAACAUUUUCAUGUGUGAUUUUUUAUUCAUAAUUAGUUACAGAAAAAACUUAAAAUGCUUAGGUAUUAUUAAAACGACUCCAUUUCAUAUUUGACACCAACACAUGUUAUUUUAUCAUCUAAUAUUGUUAUAUUAAAAAACACUCAAUUUAACAUGAAUAUUAUUAUUAUUAUAUAUUUAAAAUUAUUUUAAUCUUUCUAUUUAAAAAAAAAAAAAAAUUGUAUGCAUUAUCCAUAUUCCCAUGAAAUCCAAACGUGUCCCAUGAUUGUAGACUAAUUCGUCUAUAGUGUGGACGCAAUGACAAGUCAGAAGUCUCCCAUUUCUUUUCUAGUCAAUGGGCAUGUUCCACAUUUAUUUAUGAUAUUUCGGAUUACACGAAGACUUCCAAAAGCAAUUGGUUUGAUAAGCUUCAUGGAAUCUGAAGAUAAAGGAGGAUGCUACUUCCACAUUCUUUAACCGAGCGUAUCAACCACGCUCUCUCUAAUUUUUCCAUAUUCUUAAUUUCUAAAAAAAAAAAAAUUCAAUAUGGUAUAUCUAUUUUAAAAUUAUCUUUUUGAUAGAUAUUUUAUAAAUUAUUAUAAAUUUUAAAAUAUUUUUUCAACUAUUAUCCAUCUCAAAUUAUUUCUAUAAACUACCUUUUUUUUUUAUUUUAUAUUAUCUAAUUUAAACAGUAACAAGAUGAUUUCACAUAUGUUUUUUUAAGUAUUAUUAUGUGUGUCAUUUUAUCUUAAUUUCAUUCGUUUGCAUGUUGGACUUACAACAUAAAUUUCAUUACAUAUAUUCAACCAUUUAGAAUUUUUGUUUGAUAUGUAAUACUCUACCCGAAUAUGUUCUCAAAUUAUGUAUGUUAUGGGGAUAUAUAUAGAUAUAUUAUGGUCUAUUCCAUUUCCAUCACUUCAUGAGUUUCCCCUAAUCCACUUACUCCACUCUCAAUAAUGAUGAACUAUAUCUUGAAAGUGAAGUUGGCUUCACUCAUCCCCCAUAAAAGACCUAUCCUCAGGAGUCAAGACACUCGAAUUUGAACUUGAAGAGGAUAGAUCCCUGACCACCACCAUCUAUUGUCUCCUAAUAGGGGAGAUAUUAUUAGCCUUUUUUUAUUCUUUUACCCCACCUUAACCAAAAAAUAAGAUAAUCUUAUUACAAGAUUAUAAAAGGAACUUACUUUUCUUUAUUUAUGAUAUUUUUCUUUAAAUAAUUCAACUUUAUUAAAGCUAAGUUAGAUGUAAAUUCUGAUUAUUCUACUUUUGACCAAAUCAUAGCGGUGACCAACACUAGCUAUUAAAAAAUUAAAAUAAGUGAAAAAAAAACACUUUUUUUUUUUUACUUUUAUUUUUUAGCAUUCAAUUGUUAGAGCUUCAAAACAAUGAACUAAAAAGAUAAAACUAAGUGCAAGUUAAAAUAGAGAAUAAGGAACUCAAACAUUUUAUAAGACAUACUUGACUAACAUAAGUGAAAAUAAUUUUUUUUAAAAUAUAGUUCUUGCUUUGUGUGAAACAAAGUAGUAUUAUUUUUAUAUUUAUUUCAUGUUAUCCAUAAAACAAUACAAAUAACUUCAAUAGUUUGAGUGCUCUCCAAUUUUUAAAAUUCACUCUCACAAUUUCAAGCUAUAUUUGCUAAAGCUAUACGUUGGAUUUCUAAAAAUGAGGGAAUAUAUAAGUUAAUGGAUGAAGGUUUGAUUUUAACAAUAAGGAUCGUGUUAUUGUGCUCAUACAAUUCGAACCAAAAUAUACGCAACAACUCUUAAAAGUAAUGAUGUAAUGUUACUUAUGUUGGAUUUUAUGAAAAUAUCAAUAAAAAUACUUAUAUUCGUGUAAAUUUUUUGUGGUAUCUUAUAAACAUUUUAUGUUUUAUUGCUUUAUAUAUAAAUCUAAUUUCAUUUCAUUCAUCUAUAUUUAUCUUAUCUAUUUAUGCUUUAACCCCAUAUAUUUUUAUUUUCAUUCAAUAUAAAUUUUAUUAUAUAUUUUCAAUGAUAAAAACAGAUGUACAUUUAAUACCCAAACUUUUUCUAACAUUAAAGUAAAUAUAAUUUCACGAAUUUCAUAUUUUCUAUCAUCUUUACCAAAAUAAAUCGAAUGGGGUUGAUCACUUUUUUCCCAUUCCAUGAUUUGAUUGCGUGAAGAUGAUUCCAUCACCAACCAUUUACUAAGAUGUGACACCCAUUUUCUACACCAACUCAAACACUCCCCUUUUGUUAAUAGCUUUUAGCCGAUAGAAAGAAGUGAACAAAACCGUUUUCACAUUUCACCUACCAAGGCUAAGAAAUAUAAAUAGAAAUAGAAAUAAUUACUAUUUGUUAAAUAUAUAUUUUAUGUUUUAAAUAUAUAUUUUUAUUAAAAAUAAAAAUAAUCAUGAUAUUAAUUUGUUAAAAUUUACUCUUACAUCAUCUAAUAUAAAUGAAUCAUGUACGAAAAUGCAAGAAUUAUGAUCAAGAGUUCCAUCCAGCCAAUUAUAAAAAUGAUGUUUUACCUUUAACACAGGCUCUUCUAAUUCAAAUCUUUAUUCAUUUUCUCUUAUUGUUAUUAUUUAAAUAUAUGAUUAAUCAUGAUUAGAUAUUACAAAAACUUUCAUAUUUAAUAUAUUCUUUUAUCAUCGAUUAAGUUUGAACUUUUUUUUUGUUUGUGUAUAUCUUUAUACUUUUUCUUCUUACAAUUUUUUUUUUCACAUUUUAAUAUUUUUAUCAUAUACCAAAGCUUCAUUUAAAAUUUUCGUGUUUUUGAUCAUUUUUUAUUUGUAUAAAAAUUUACAUGAAUAUAAAUAUUUUUAUUGAUAUUCUGAUAAAAUCCAACAGCAGGGACAUUUCAUCAUUGCUUCUUGAGGUGGUGCGUGUAUAGUGCAUAUAGCAUGGGAAUAAGGACACGUCUCCUUUCUGACUAUUCAAUUCAAUGCCCUUUCACAUUCAUUUAUUAAUUGUUUGGACUAUAUGAAGACUUGUGAAAGCAACCUUCCCCCGUUUUCUUGACGCAAGCUGCUACUUCCACGUGAGCAUGCCAAACACGCUUAGGGCCUGUUUGUUGGUGUUUUCAAAUACAUUUUUGGAAACAGUUUUUAGUGUUUUCAGAAAUAAAAUUAUAUUUGAAAACUAAAUUCUAAAAAAUAAUUUUUAUUCUCGAAAAUAAAAAGAAUAAAAAAACAUGUUUAGUUCAAUUAAUAAAAAUAAUUUUUAAUAACAAAUAAAACAAAAAAACUUGUUUGGAAAAUAUUAUUGUUGGUUUUGUUUUUUAAAGUCGAGUAUUUUAUUUAACUAAUUGAUGUUGUAAAUAUAUAAAUAAUUUUUCUUCAUAAAAAUAAAAAUGUUCCAUUUUGAACAUUUUUUACAUCAAUUUUAAUUUUUUUAAACAAAUUAUUACUUUGUAAACAUGUCUAAAUAUGUUUGAUUUCAAUAAUUGAUAAACCAUUUUAUCAAAAUAUCAUAAAUCGAUAAAUAUCAAUAAUUAGAUUUUAUGAAGAUAAAAUUUAUGAUAUCAAAUAAUAAUGCAUUAUACUUGGAAAUUGAUGAUCUAUCUUUUCUACUAAUAAUAUAUUUAUGAUAAUUUUUUAUUUAAAAAUAUUUAUAAUUUUAUUUUAAAUUAAAUUUUAUUUUAUAUUUAAGAAUUAUAUAAAAGAUAAUUUUUUUUAAAGUAAAUCAAACUAAUUUAUUUAUAAAAAUUUAUUAAUUUUUACUUGGAAUCCUUGUUCUCUUUUCUCUCCUUCUCCUCAUAUUCUCUUUGUUUCUCUUCCAAGACUCAAACUUUUAUUCAGUGAAAUUGAAUUAUUUCUCUCCUCAAAUAUCAACUCAAUAAAGUCAAAAGUCAAAAUCUAGAUCUAUGAUUGUUGUAAAGAUUCUUGGUUACGAUUUCAUCUUUUAUGUUAUUGUUUAUGUUUUUGUUUGGUUUUUGAGAAAUCCUAGAAUUUAUGGAAGUUUCAGCUUUGAAAUGCAUUAAAAAAAACAUAUUAGGAUAAAAUCCCAAAAUAUCCGAAAAAUAUUGAAAUGGAAAUAAAGAAAAAAUAAAUAAAAAUAAAAAUUGUCGAUUAAGUUGAAUUUUUGUUAAACCGAAUUUUCAAUUUUCUAAUUUUUCCCAUUUUCCUUGGCAGUAUAAAAAAAAAAAAGAUAUAACAAUUUUUCUUUUUCUUUUUUAACUUCACAACACAAAAAACAUCAUUUUAAAACCAAGUUUUAGAAAAUUGAGAACAAAAAAACACUCUCUUAUCAAACAUGAUUUUUGUGUUUUUUGUUCUAAAAAAAAAACAGUUUUUGAAAACACUAACCAAACAAAUCCUUAAUGACUCAUUUUUCUUUUUUCUUUUUUACUUAUUUGUUUAUUCUGUUUUCUGUUUUUAUUUAUAAAGAAAAUAAAAAUCAAGUUUAAAACACAUGUUUAGAUAUUAUUCUUAAUUUUCAUUCUUGAAAAAUUGAGUUCAAAAAAGGUCAAAAAUGAAAAUAAUAAUUUGGUGCUUUUAAUUUUUUUUUUUAUGGCAAUGUUUUUCAAUCUAACAUAAAAAUAGAAAUAUUAUCUUUAGAAUUAAUUAUAAAAUUAUAGUCAAUAAUUUUGUACAUUAUUUUAAAAUAAAAAUAUAAUCAAAUACAAAAUAAUAAAAUAAAACAAGGAACAAAUAUGAUAUAAUAACAUAUAGUAGCAUAUAAUAUAUAAUGUAUAAUAUCAAUAAAUAACAACUAAUAAAAUUAUUAUAUAUGUUAUAUUGUAUGCGCAUGAGGUUUUUGGUAAAUCAAUUUAAUGUUUUAAAGUGACUUCAUAACUUGAUUUAAAUUAUUAAAUAAAUUAAAAUUUUGAUAAAAUAAUUUAAUAUCAGAAUUUAAAAUAAAAAUAAUUUUAAGUGUUAAGUCAAAAUAGUUAAUUUAUUCUUAAUGUCAAAUCAUUUUUAUUAGAUUUUUACUUUGUUUGGUAAAAUUGAGUUAAUAUUUUGAAAUUAUCAAAUUUACAUAUUUAUUUUUCUUAAUUUUAAGUAAUAAAUUUAUUUGUUACACGUUUCCAAAUAUAUAAAAUAAUUACAAUAAUUACUAAAUAUUUAGCUUAAAGAAAAUGAGUCAUGGAUAUAAGUCAUGCAUAUUAUAUAAAUUAGUAUUACAUGUGUGAGUAAAUAAGAUAGAAAUGAUUUAACAUUCAAAAUAAAUUUAUUAUUUUAAUUUAAUAUUUAAGAAUUAGUUUUAAUAUUUAAUAACUCAAAUUAAGUUAUUAAUCCAUUAUAUUGAUUAAUUUAUCAAACACCUUUUAAAAAUCUUUUUUUUUAGUGCCCAAAAAUAAAAUCAAUAAAAUUAUAUUAGUUUUUUGUUCGUCUCACGAUUUAUUUUAUAUGUUGAUCUUACAUUCCAAUUAUUGAUACUUUAAUAACAUACAUUUUGUAUCACCGUGAAAUCAUCUAAACUUAACCUUGCACUGUUGGUACUGAACAACUCCGUGUGUUACAUGCUGGAUGGCCUAGAAUUUUCCUUCUUCCUGUGGUUAGUUGCAAUAGAUUUUCCGGCACUGCAACGUUGGACACGACAGUUGAAGGAGCGCGGACUUAAAAGUAAAAGUGACGUGGAAAAUGAGAGAAAAGAUAUAAAAAGAAUAUGCUGAGGUCACAUUGCCAUUGUCAAUCGAAUCAUAAUUGUGGAAAUGAAUUCUCUAGUGGACCAACCAGCAGCGUGUUGAGUGGCACCCCGGCGCCCACGCCCCAUUGGUCAGCUUGCUUUUGUGGUGUGCAAGGUUUAUUCCAAACCUUUUGAUCAGUGGUUAUACAAGUAGCACAAAUCCGUGUGAGUAGCACAAAACACUGAGUUCAUUGGUCGUGGCUCCUUCGCAAUUAAUUCCAACAAGCAGGUCAGUUUGUAAAAUUCAGUAUAAUAAAUUCUGUCAGCGCCCCAGAUUUUGAAAUUGAACCGUUGGUUUCCACCACAUUCCCAGCAUUCUUCCUCCCAACUUUUGCCCGGCCAUCUUCCUACCUCCUCACAGAGAAUCCGGUAACGAACUCAACGUCACAAAAUGCCGAAACUACCCUUUUUAUUUGCCACAAUUCCAUUUCCCGACCAUCUUCCUCCCUUCUCACAUAGAAGUCGGUAACAAACUCAACGUCACAAAAUGCCGAAACUACCCUUAUUAUUU
rnacentral:lncRNA from 1 species